rnacentral:piRNA from 1 species
UUAGAAGUUGGAAGUGGAAAGUU